rnacentral:lncRNA from 12 species
AAUCCUUCUGCACACGGAAGAUUUCAGCAGAAGCCGGAACAAAGCCAAUGUCAAGUGCUCAGGAUCCGUAAGUGUAGCUUUGGCCUCCCCGGACCUGUUUCCAGAAGCCACAGUCCCAGCUUGUGGGUGAAGUGCCAGGCUCAGUGGCUGAGGCCUCGAGGCCCGAGACCUGGAGGCAGAAGCUGUGGGGGGCCAGUGCAGGGUGGGGGGGCCGGUUGGUCACUGGGUCUGGACCGGCUCUCCGGUGCUGGGCUCCAGCCAAAUGGCCCCAUACAGGGAGGCUGCUCCAGCCACGUGCCCUGCUUUGGCACCGACCACUGCCCGCCGGGUGGCCGCCUGGAGUUGUCGGGGCCCCUUGGAAGUUCCUACUGGGAUGGCUUGUUUCCCUCAGAAAAUUCUGGACUCGCACGGGCUUGUAAACAAGUGUGCUCACCUGGCUGGCACCUUACAUGGACCUUAAAUUUAUUAGUCCUUUUUAUUGUCUUUUUAUUGUCCUGUAGGAGGCUGAUCAGUGACUCACUGAGGGCCCGUCUGUCUCCCCAGAGCAUCUCCAGGGUCUGGAUCCUGAGCGGAUCUGCAGGUGCAGCCCAGGGGCUGAGCCCCAUCAUCACGGCAAGUCCCGAGACUCCCAGAGCAGAGCAUCCUGCCUGAGUCGAUUCCCAGCUCUACGGCGGCCUGCUUGGGGCCCCAUCGUUUGGAAUGCAUGCGUGUGCGUGGACCUGGGUAGGUAGCGAAUGUGCUCAUCUGGGGACUGUCUGUAGAAAGGGAAGAAGCUGGAGGAACCCACCCAGAGGCGGGUCAGCCCGGUUCGAGGAAAGUCCUUGCUGGCACCUGGCUCUCUAGAGCAGGAUUUCUCAAGGCAGGCUCUGCUGACGUGUACGUGGGACCAUCCCAUGCCCUGUCGGAUGUUUAGCAGCAUCCCUGGCCUCUACCCACUCGAUGCCCAGAGCAUCCCUCCCUGAGUCGUGACAAUCAGACACGGCCACAGGUCGCCCCAGCAGUCACCCCAGUUGAGAACUGCUGCUUGAUACAUCCUCUCCUUGGACCUGUUACCUCCGGAGGAAAUGAGGGAGGGGUGGACACCAGGGUCUGUGAAGUUGGCGGCAGACAAGGCUCCAGUGGCCAGAUGGGCCCCACUUCCUCUCUGCAAGCUACCUGGCGUCAGUCAUGGACGGCACCUUGCAAGCCUUUUGCACUGAGAAUUUAGUGCUCGCCUGGCAGCUCCCUGGCCUCCCG